GAUGAAGAACGUAGCGAAAUGCGAUACUUGGUGUGAAUUGCAGAAUCCCGUGAACCAUCGAGUCUUUGAACGCAAGUUGCGCCUUAAGCCAUUAGGUUGAGGGCACGUCUGCCUGGGCGUCACAUAUCGUUGCCUGAUGCCAGUUUCCUCGUGAUGGGUGACUGUGCAGGGCGAAUGAUGGCUUCCCGUGAGCAUUGUUGCCUCAUGGUUGGUUGAAAAUUGAGUCCUUGGUAGGGAGCGCCGUGAUAGAUGGUGGUUGAGUGACGAACGAGACCCAAUCAUGUGAGACCCCUACCGAAUUUGGCCUUCAUGACCCACAUGCGUCUUUGGAACGCUCAUGACGAGACCUCAGGUCAGGCGGGGCUACCCGCUGAGUUUAAGCAUAUCAAUAAGCGAGA
rnacentral:misc_RNA from 1 species